rnacentral:rRNA from 1 species
CAGUCGCCGCGGUAAUACGUAGGUGGCAAGCGUUGUCCGGAAUUAUUGGGUUUAAAGGGUGCGUAGGCGGCUAUUUAAGUCAGCGGUGAAAGACUCCGGCUCAACCGGAGCAGUGCCAUUGAUACUGGAUAGCUUGAGUGUUGGAGGGGUACAUGGAAUUGAUGGUGUAGCGGUGAAAUGCAUAGAUACCAUCAGGAACACCGAUAGCGAAGGCAUUGUACUGGCCAACAACUGACGCUGAGGCACGAAAGCAUGGGGAGCGAACAGGAAUAGAGACCCCUGUAGUCCCUGUCUCUUAUAC